ACAGACGUUGAAACACUGGGUCCCAUCUGAUCACUGAAAUUAAGCAACAUUGAGCCUGGGCAGUAACUAGAUGUGUGGUCACUUGGGAAUACCAAGUACUGUAAG